rnacentral:lncRNA from 1 species
CACUGCCCCUGUCACAGUGUCACUGAACACUAUACAGUCUAUCAUCAUUCAUUCACACAUUCAUCAGACACGUACGGCCGUCGAUCAGUUUAUUGCGCCCGCCCUAGCUAAUCACGGCGUCUAAUUAGUGGAAGGAGGUGUUCUUGAGGUGCUCCGGCGCGUCCUGGAAGGAGUGCUUUCUGGCCAGGGAGAGGAUGGUCUUGUCGGCGACGAUGAAGUAGGCCAUCCCCGCGACGGUGGAGAUGAUGAGCGCCUGCCCGGUCGGGUUCAGGUAUGCCUUGGCCCACGGCAGCAUCCUCACGCUCGCCAGCUGAAAUCAUGGAUAGCAGAUUCAUGAGACAUGCGAUCAACUAUGGAGCGCGCGAUCUCCUCCAACAACCAAAUGGCUAGCUUUCUGGAUACUUACUGUGGGCACUGCGGCUGCGACGGUGGCGACGGCCGCGGCCUUGGCUCCGGCCAUGGCAGCCUCUGCAGCACACACAUGUAACAUGUUAAUCGCAAUCAAGUUCCGACAGACACAGACAGCACAUAAAUAAGCCGCAAUGCAUAACGGAACCGGCCGUCGCUCGUUGGUUACCUACCUCUGGAGCAGCGCUUAGCUGCGGCGAGCCUCUGGUCGAGGUAGGCGCGGGUGACCGUCGACAUCUUCCUUCGCCGGGAGCAGAGCUUGGUUGUACGAGAUCGGAAGGAAGUGAACGAGCAGUAGCAGCAAAGCCAAGUGCAGUAGCUAAAAAGAUGAGUAAGUAGUAGUAGCAGUAGGUGGAGUGAGGUGCGGUGGGGAGAGCAAGGUGCUCCGGCGAGAUUUAUACGUAGUUCGCAUGAAACCGCGAAACCGGCGUGCCGGGAGGAAGACGGACUUGAUACGGUGGGAAUCAAGACCACGGUUUUGAGACGAGCGAGCGGUGGUACCGGCGGGAGGGCGCCUCGCUGCAGCAGAGCACAGCACAGGUGGCCGCGCCUCGUUCGUCGGUCGUAUAAAAAUGGGAGCACUCCACUACACUUUGCACUGGAUAAGAGGAGGCAUCGAUGGGGGGUUGGCACGGCGCUAGCGCGCGUAGGAUAACACGUAGGAGCAUGUGCGUGAACGCAGUGUCACUCAGCGUGCACUCCGUUUCGCUUCAGAUCUGUGUGUGUGCGGCGCGCUGCCAGUUUUCGGCCAACCCGUCGGCAAUCAGGCAAUUCCGCCGGCGGUUUGCUGAUUUGGAUCGUCUGUUUUUAUCGUCGGUUUGCUUUGGCACGCGCAUUUUAUCAGUUUUUCGUUAGUUUGGAUUGUUUAUUACGUGGAUUUUUUUUUUGCGACGAUUGUUUACGUGGAUUUGCGCGUCCGUAUUUUUACAUGGGUCGGCUUAAGCGUCCAAGGAAAGACUGAUCCAAAUUUAUUCGCGUAGAAAAAAAAUAACACGUCGAAGAAAAAACACGCGGUGGUGGAGGAGGCGGGAUGAAGAGCAGGGCAUGGACGGAGUCCCCUACCGCCGAACAAGCCGCUCCAUCCCAUCCCAUUGGGCCUCCUCGAUCUUGCUCGCCUCCAGUGCCUCAUGCACGACUCGCUCGAGGGCAGCUUGGUACGCCUCCUCUUCGUCCUCCUCGUGCAGCAGAACCUCAGGCAGCGGCGGAGGAACAUCGUAGUCAACGUGCACGACCCGGCGUCGCUCCUUCUCGUGCUCUAGCGCCAACCAACGCUCCCAGUUGGGGGAGUCUGGCGAGUAGGCACGCAUCUGCCGCUGCUCCAGAGUGAGGGUCUCACGACGCCGGAGAACCUCCUCGGCCUGCGCCCACGUCGAGCGUGGCACUGCUGGAAUAGGGACCCGUUGCGGAUGCAGAUACCAGUCGUGAGGCAGGUUGACAUCCGGAUACUGCACUGGCCGGUGGUACUGUCAGGGAGGAGCACUGCAUGGCCAGAUGUGGACGGGGGUUGUAAGUGGAUGAGGCCGUCCUCACCGCAUGCUUUCAUAAAAAAGGAAGGGCACAUGGACCGCCCACACACUACCAAGAGGGCCCCUAGGUAGGUGACGGCAUUUAAUAAGACAUGGCUGGUGGUUGGGCGGUGCACAAGUGGGACCGCGGCGGACAUAGACCGGCCGCGCGGCACGCCCGCAUCGCGUCUGCGUCGAUGCAUUUCAGACGCAAUUUUGGGUCGGAAAUAGGUCCGUGCGGACGCAAUGCGUACGGAUUUUGGGAAUGGGUCGCCGCGUUGGGCCGGCGCUUUUGUCUCUGCGACUCUAACGAACGUGGACGGACAAAAUGGGUCGCCUCGUUGGAGUUGCUCUUAUAUAUCCAAAUGGAUAUAUAUUAUCAUGAUUUAUUAUUGUUAACAUUAUCUUUAAGGUAAAAUAAGUUAAGUGGCAAAUUAUUUAAGCCCCAAUCUUCCUACAUGUCCUAUAUAAACAUGAGCUUCGAAAAUAUGUCUUGAGCGUGAGCAAUCAUAGAAGAUUAAAUGAUAGUUGAGUAUAUGAACGUGUAAAAAAACUCUUACAUAGACUUUUCUCUGAAAUAUAAUGAAUUAUGAUUGUCUCAAUGACUGAGAACAUUGUUUGUUGAUUGUCAAUAAAGUUUAUUCUUCUUACUCCAAUAUCUAUGAAUGGAUUAUUACUUGUUUAUGAGGAGCUAUAUAAUAAAAUACUUACUACUAUGUUAAUAUUCCUCAUGCUCUCAUGUUCGUAUUAUAUUUUUAUCAACACCUCUCUCUUAAAUCUUGUGGUAAUUAUUUUCAAGUUUGGAUUUUGCUUGAGGACAAGCAAGGUCUAAGCUUGCAAAAGUUGAUAAGUCCAUUUUGCAUCAUUAAUUAUUAUUAAUAUUUGUAUUAUUCUUGUCCAUUAUUUCUUAUUAUCACAUCAUUCUUAUGUCAUUUCUCUUUGAAUAUGUAAGGUAUAUCAUAAAGAGGGAAAUAUCUGGACAUUGAAAUUCUGAACCGGGAAACCGGAAAAAGGCAAAAAAAUCAAGAUGCUCCAAAUGGUGUGAAACUUGACGAAGAAUUUUUCCUUAAUAUUUAAAAAUUACUGGGUCAAAAAUAUGCCACAAGGGAGCCACCUAUUGGCGCCAAGGCAACAGGGCGCGACCACGCCCUUGUUGGCCCUUCUGAUGUCCCUCUCCUCUUAUAUGGCGUGUUUUGACCUAGAAAAAAUGAUAAGUAACCUUUCGGGGUAAAGCGCCGUCGUCUCGAGGCGGAAACCUGGGCAGAGGCCCUUUUUCUCUUCGACAGAGAGAUUCUGCCGAGCAAACUUUCCUCCAGGAGGGGAAAAUGAAAGUUAUCAUCAUCACCAAUGUUUCCUCCUUCGUGGAAGGACCGAUCUUCAUCAACAUCUUCACCAUCAUCAUAUCGUCUCCAAACCUAGUUCAUCUCUUGUAUUCAAUCUUUGUCUCGGGACCUCAGAUUGGUACAUGUGGGUUAUUAGCUGUGUUGAUUACAUCUUAUAGUUGAUGCUUAUUGGAUUACUUGGUGGAAGACAUUAUGAUCAAAUCCUUAAUUAUUAUUAUUACACCUCUCAUCUUGAAUAUGUUGAUGAGGUGCGAGUAGUAACUAUUGUUCCCGGGGACAUUGGAGAAGUCUUGUUAUAAAUAAUCAUAUAAUGUUGGUAUUCGCUCGAUAUUUUGAUGAUAUGUAUGUUGUUAUUUCUUUUAGUGGUGUCAUGUGAACGUCAACUACAUGACACUUCACCAUGUUAUGGGUCCAAGGAAAGUCAUUAUGGAGUAACAAGUAGAUGAUGGAUUGCGAGACUGGCAGAAGCUUAAACCCCAGUUUAUGCAUUGCUUCAUGAGGGGCUGAUUUGGAUCCACACAUUUAAUGCUAUGGUUCGAUUUAUCUUAAUUCUUCUUUUGUAGCUGCGGAUGUUUGCGAGAGAGGGUAAUGAUAAGUUGGUUUCUUGUUCAAGUAAGAACAACACCUUAACACCGGUCUAUCCACAUAUAAAAUUAUCAAAGUAGUGAACGCGAAUCAACUCAAUAUGAUGAAUAUGACUAGACGGAAAUUCUCAUGUGUUCACGGAAGCAGUUGCUUCAUAUAAAAGUACUUUCAGGCCUGUCAUUUGCUACAAAAAGGAUUGAGCUAUCUUGUUGCACAUUUGCUACUAUUGUUACUUGUCACUUAUUAUGAAUUAUCUUGCUACAAGACUAUCUAUCACUGUUACUUAUAGCACUUGCAGAUAAUACCUUGCUGAAAAUCGCUUAUUAUUUCCUUCUGCUCCUCGUUGGUUUCGACACUCUUAUUUAUAGAAAGAACUAUGAUUGAUCCCCUAAACUUGUGGGUCAUCAGCCCUCCAUGUCCAGGCAAGACCCAUGUGACCUUGCUGCCGCACGCGCCACGUCGUCGCUCGACACUACCAGUCGGCACCAACGCCACCGAGCGGGAGGAGAGGAGGCCCCGUCGCUGCCCGGCACUACCAGUCAACACUAACGCCGUCGAGUGUGGGGAGAGGAGCCCCUUCGCCAUCGACGCCAGUCGGGCUUUGCCCCAUGGCAGCAAGGAGAAGAGAGGGUGCGGCCUCCGCUGGCGGCUAGGUCCCCUCCCCUCUCUCUCAGUGUCCAAUUCACUCCAAAUCACAUGAGUUCAUUCAUCAAUUUUUCUUUGAAAGUUUUGCUGCCUCAUACAUGUGGACUGUGAUCAACACAACAAUUCAGGCUUGCACUUUGUUUUACUUAAUAUUUUCACUGUGCAGCUAACAUCGUAACUCUUAGUGCUAACAUCAAUUUUGUAGGAAGCAAAUUCCUUAUGGUAUAGGAAAGGUUCUACUACUCCCUACUAAAGUUGCGACCAUUAACUUGGAUCGGAUGGAGUAACUUUCUUUCACUAUCAGUUGGAUUGGAUCUUUUUAAACAUUCUUGCUGCAUUAGAUAAAAAGCAAUUAAUUUUUUCUGUUAGCAUGUAUUCAUAAAAAUAAUAAAUAAUGUAGAGUUUGGUAUCACUUUUGUUCAACAAGCCUUUUGCCAUUUCACUAUUUGACUAACCAAAAUUUCAAAUUGUAGGGACUAGUUUGCCAACGUAUUAUAGAAAAAGUUCAACGCGCAUAGUUUUAUAGCCAUAAAUCAAACCUUGUCCUAAAAAUUUCAACAUACGUUUUAGACGCGUUUGUCUUUUAUAAAGGCAUCUCACAAUACACUUGGGCACGUGUAUACGAUACAAGGAUAGAAUAUUUUAUUAAUGCUCGUCAUGAAUGAAAUGUCAAGUAUGUCCCUAUUUCUAGUGACAAACGCCUCAAAUUAAUCCACAGGACAGUAACUCCAGUAGUAUAGGCUAUAGGAAUGUGAACCUAAUAUGGCUAAACUUUUCUUUCAGAUUUGUCUUUUUGUCACAUUUUUUGUUAAACGUGCCGCAUUUUUUUUAAUGUUUACAUGUCACACCCUCUCAAGUAUAAACCUUGGCCGUGGCUACCGAGCGCAGCAAUGUCCGCUCACGGUGGUAGCGGACGCACCCGAGAACAAUCAACCACGUGUACUUAUUAGCGUUUAAAAAAAUUCAAAAAAUCGUAACUUUUGAACCGAGCAUCAAAAUGACGAUACGUUUUCACGGUCGUGUUUCUUAUGACGAGCUCUUCAAAAUUAGAUUCCAUAUGGAUAGAUUUCUACGAACUUUUUUUGAGCAAAUUUAUGUGCUAGAUGAGGCAAUUUUAGUGCUAUAGGCAAGCAACUCCUUUCCCCCCUUAGUAUGACUAUCUACCAGCGAAGAAUUCUUCUAAGUUGGUUACCACUGAGUAACAAUUGACUAGUUGCCUAUGAUUGAUGUUCACUUGCCUACAAAUGCUGUGGAAUUGUUCGAUUUUGAUGCUCAGUUGCCUNNNNNNNNNNNNNNNNNNNNNNNNNNNNNNNNNNNNNNNNNNNNNNNNNNNNNNNNNNNNNNNNNNNNNNNNNNNNNNNNNNNNNNNNNNNNNNNNNNNNNNNNNNNNNNNNNNNNNNNNNNNNNNNNNNNNNNNNNNNNNNNNNNNNNNNNNNNNNNNNNNNNNNNNNNNNNNNNNNNNNNNNNNNNNNNNNNNNNNNNNNNNNNNNNNNNNNNNNNNNNNNNNNNAUUAUGAUGCUCAGUUUCCUAUUACUGAUGGUCAAUUGCCUAUGGUUGAUGUUCAGUUGCGUGGCAUUAAUGCUCAGUUGCCUUCUAUUUAUGAAUAGUUGUCAUAAUUGCACUCUAGUAUCACAAAAAAGUUAGCAACUUUUAGUGUGUUUUUUGCGCAACUCCAGUGCAUUUCAACAAGCAACUCAUGUGUAUACACACAAUGCAAUUCAUACAUCAUCAAAGUUGUUUCUGUUUAGUACCAAAGUUGCCUCAUACAGCAUCGAAGUUGCUUUUGAAAAAAAUCUUCAAAUCAUAUUCAUAUGAGAUCUCGUUUUGAAGAGUUCGUCACGAGGAACCCAACGAUGAAAACAUAUCAUAAUUUCCACACACGGUUUGAUAGUUAUAUCUUUUUGAAUUUUUUUCGUACAGGAAUAAAUGGACAUCCAACGCAUGCGGAGCCGAGCAUGCACAUCCGACCCAUAAUUUAGCCUUUUCAGUUUGGAAAUUUCAGACUUCAUUUGUCAUGUGGUUGCUAAAGGGUGAAGUUAUUUAACCUUCUAGUCAUGAUAGAUAAUUUAAAAAAUAAUGUUGAUAGGCGAUCAUAUUACGCGCAUUAAUAAAAAUUAUUUCUCUUUAACACUAAAAUUGCCUAAACAUUACUCCACGGUUGCUUAAAAAAAGUUUAUCAAAAUAUAUCCAUAUGGGAUCCAGUUUUAAAGAGCUCGUUGUAACAAACACAACCGUGAAAACAGAUCAUUGUUAUGAGGCUCGGUUUAAAGUUAUAGUAUUUAAAAACAAAACAGAAUAAACUGGAAUGACUUGCUGCAUAUAGGAUGUGAUCGUUUCAACCAAAUAGUGCAGCUGUAUUUUUAUUAUUUAAGAUAAACCUUGUGCUAAAAAACUAUGACGAGUGAGGUGGCACGGUCGGGAUAUGCGGCGCAGAACAUGGGAGGGGCGGGGGGGUCAAAGAAUUCAGUGCUCGUUACGUCUUUUUACAUGCUCUGGCACAUGUAUAAGAUGGGUGAUGGCUGGCUGGAUAAGGGAGAAGCAGAGUUGAACAGAUGCAAGUCAUUAUUAAUUCAAGAUUACUGGCUGAAUACAUUAUGAUUACUUCAUCAGACAAGUGCCUGCACGGACAGAGGCGCAAGGCCUGAUCUGCAUCGCCUCGCUGAACAUUAUACUCGUACUACGUGAGUAUCUUUCAGCAAAAACGUACAUACAGCCCAAUAAUUAGUGGAAUGAGGUGUUCUUGAGGUGCUCCGGCGCGUCCUGGAAGGAAUGCUUCCUGGCCAUGGAGAGGAUGGUCUUGUCGGCGACGAUGAAGUAGGCCAUCCCGGCGACGGUGGAGAUGAUGAGCGCCUGACCGGCGGGGUUCAGGUGCGCCUUGGCCCACGGAAGCAUCCUCACACUCGCCAGCUGCAGAAAAAGGCACGGAAGAAGAAGACGGUGAGAUGAUUAUUCGUUCGACGUCAAAAACUCAGUGGUGCAGGCUGAUAAACGUGUGCUUACGGUGGGCACUGCGGCGGCGACGGUGGCGACGGCCGCGGCCUUGGCUCCGGCCAUGGCAGCCUCUGCAGUUACCAAUCAACACAGGCGUGUUAGUUUGGGUCUAGUUCCAGGCUUUCAGUAGACAGGACUGCACAUAACUGCAAUGCACUCCUAGAAUAGAACGGCGAGAGCAUUGCCGGCACAGUGAACCGGCGGGGCAUCAUAUCGUUUUGGUUACCUCUGGAGCAGCGCUUGGCUGCGGCGAGCCUCUGGUCGAGGUAGGCGCCGGUCACCGUAGACAUCUUNNNNNNNNNNNNNNNNNNNNNNNNNNNNNNNNNNNNNNNNNNNNNNNNNNNNNNNNNNNNNNNNNNNNNNNNNNNNNNNNNNNNNNNNNNNNNNNNNNNNNNNNNNNNNNNUCACCGUAGACAUCUUCGCCGGAGCAAAGCUUGGUGGCAGGAGACCCGAAGGAAGUGAACUACUCGUGACUUCUUAGGCCCUGUUUUGUUACAAAUAAGUCACCAACUUAUAAGUUAAAAAUGCAAAAAAUGACUUAUUUUGCCAAAAGGGCCUAACUUAUAAGUCAUAAGUUGCGAUACCCUAGCUUAAAACUUAUAAGUCACUUACUUUUUGAUGGGUCCCACCACCUUUUCAGCCGUGCCCACCGCCCACCCGUGCCCACCGCCCCAUCCGCUCCCCACCGCGUAGCGCGCCUCGCCGCCGCUCCCACCGCGCAGCGCGCCUUGCCGCCGCCGAGCUCCAUCCCCACCCACUGCGCAGCGCGCCUCGCCCAUCCCUCCCCACCGCGCACCGCUGCUGCCCUCGCCGCCGCUGAGCUCCAACGCGAGCUCGCUCGGCUCGCCCAGGCCAGAAGCGCGGUNUUAUAAGUCAGGUGACAACCAAACAAGGAUGACUUAUAAGUCACUGGUUUUAAGUCACCUGACUUAUAAGUCACCUGACUUAUUGGAACCAAACAGGGUCUUAGUAACAGUGAAGUGUGUGAGGCAAGAAGAUGAGUGGUGGUGUGUGAGAUGAGAUGGGGCAGAGCUCGGUGCUCCGGCCGGAUUUAUAGGCCGCAGGAAACCGCGAAACCGGCGUGCGGAGAGGAAAGCGAGCUGAUACGAUACGAUGGGAAGCGAGACCGUGGUUUCGAGCCGAGCGGGUGGCCGGUGGCCGGCGCUGCUCUGCGGCAGAGCGCAUGUGGCGCCGCCUCCUUUAACCUGGUCCGCAUAUAAAAAACCACCCCACGCGCCUCGUCACUGAUUCUUUUUGGUGGGCACUGCGCUGCGCUGCAAGUGGAUAAAGAUAAGGAAUCAAUCGAUCGGGGUUGGCGUGUAGGUGCUGCAUCAUAUAUAGGAGCAGGAGUAUGUGAGUGAGUGUGCCCUUGGCGCUCCCUGUUUUCGGCCAAUAAUCCUACACCUAUGUAAUUUGGUUACAUAAUCUUACUUAACCUUCGUAAUCUAAAUCUUCACCGUCCCUGAUUUUCGUGGGGUGAGGCCUGGGCUGUUUUUUCAUCCAAUCUAAUCAUGACAAAUCAACUACCACGCGUAACUUUACCUAGAAUCUCUAGGUAGGUGUAGCAAAGCCCGUUUUCGGCCAACCCGUCCGCAAUCCAAUUCCGCCAGCGGUUCCCUGCAAAUCCUUUGUUGAUCGCAUGCUCGGAAAUACCUCGUCCGAUUAGCCAGUAGAUGGAACUCUUGAUUUCGGUUAUUAUUUGUAGUAUAUAGUAUGAUAUAUGUUAGCAAGUAUAUGAACAAGUUCAAUGUUAAAUUGAUGAUUUUGAAUUUUAAGAUUUUGUAGAUUUAGAUGUAUAAUGAUUAUUAAUUUUAUCUCUUGUCUUUAUUUUAUAUGCCUACAGUAGAAUAUUUUGAUAUAUUACAUAGCUAUAGGUGCAUGAAGUAUGGUAUAAUAAAUAAAAAGUAUAGAUAUAAAUUGGCAAAUUUCUAUUUAAUCUACUGACAAUGGUCGACCGAUUAAUUCAGUUUAUAGGCUCAUUCACUGAUUAAUCGUUACUCUCAAGCAGACCGAGAAGCUACUAGUUACCGAUUUCUUGAACAUUGAAAAUACAUAACGUUGAUCACCUAUCCAAAUAACGUAAAGGUUUUCACUAGCCAGUCCUGUCAUCGCUUGCAGUCGCACCACCACCCUAGAUCUUCCAUCGUCGCAAAUCUCAACCCUGACCAAGGUUUUGGCUACCGAAUACCAAGGAAAUGUCAAGAAGGGGCCGAGAAAUGCGGCUACCAAAAAAUACCAAGUGGAUGCCAUCCAAAACUUCCAAGUGUGUUUCAAAUUAAGAAAAAUUGAGCUAGGUACGUACAACUAUGUGCCAUGCUCAAUUUAGUCAGGAAUUUGCUAGCAUCACAAUGGUUGUCUUCACGCAUGUCAAGGACUGAGGUGUUCAGUGUUCGGUCACUGACCAGUAAAGAAAUAGCAACCUAGCCAGCUCUGUGAAGUUGGUCCUAUAAGUCUGGAUUGACCGACACCUCUUACAUAUAAACCUUAUCCAAGACAGAUAUUGGGCGGCCCAAAUGCAUUGGAUCUGAGAGACGGGACCUACCACAAAUUUCAUCAAAUCUUCCAAACCUGGCCAUACAUGUCUUUUUCCUCUCCUCUCUUCUCCCUCGUUCGCGAUGGCCCUUCCCUAGCUUUUCAGCCACCCUAGAUUCGAUGUCGUCUUGACCCCAUAGCGCGAGUAUCACCACCACAAAACUCCUCCUGCCAUGGUACAUACCACUCUUCCCGUCGUACACCUUGCCCUCCAUGUGUUUGAUAAUGUCAAUGCAAUUAUUUUGGAUUCUUUUGUGGAAAAACAAUGGAUUCGGUCUUGUCACAUGAGUAGUAUAAAGGCUAGGAGCUUGAUGUAUUCAUUCACAAGUUCAUGAAUUCAUCAAAAUCAGAUGACGAAGAUGCUACAUUAAUGAUUGUGAUGAUUAGCUUCGAGAAAAUGGAGAUAAAAGCGUAGUAUAUUCUGAACUUCAAAAGUUCAAUCAAAGGGAAGAUAGACCUAAACUAGGAUAAAGCCGCUGGCUCACGACGGCCGCUCUACAAGUACUACAUCCUAACCGGAUCAACAUUUCCUGAAAUAUGCGUCAACACUUUCGUAUGUGCAAACACUUGUUCUAGUGCGCGGUUAAUGGAGUGAAGGCACAUGAUCCAUUCUCUCUUUUGUUGAAAUGCACAACUGCUCUAAGGAUUAUCAUCUAUUUUCUUUAAAGACUUUCUUUAUUUGCCACGCCAUGUAUUAAACUUUAUGAAAAUACUACCUCCAUCCCAAAAUAAAUGUUACAAAUUUAAAAUAACUUUAUACUAAAGCUAGUACUACCUUCCCAAGUAUAUAGGACAUGCGCGUAGUUCUAGCUUGUUAAUUUAACUACUCCCCCGUUCUUAAAUAUAAGUCUUUUAAGCGAUUUCACUAAGGGUCUACAUACAGAGCAAAAUGAUUGAAUCUAUACUCUAAAGUAUGUCUAUAUACAUCCAUAUAUAUGUAGUCCACUAGUGAAAUCUCUAGAAAGACUUAUAUUUAGGAACGGAUGGAGUAGCUAAUAUGUAUUAUAUGCGAUAAAAAUUACAUAUUCAGAGACUACAUCCCCAUAUGAAUCUAAUGAUAUAUUAUUUAUUACAUAUAAUACAUAAUUAAGUAGUUAAAUUAACGACCUAGAACUACAUGCAUGUCCUAUACACUUAGACGAAUGUAGUAUAAAGUUGAGACACCUAUUUUAAGAUAGAGGAAAUAUUUAAGAAGUGGUGAUCCCGAUGUGCAUCACAAACAUGAGAGGAAUAGCGGGUCAAAGAGUUCCGUGGGUAUUUCUGUCUUCUGCAUGCUCUACCACUGCCACACAUGUCAAAUGAUAACAACAAACGAGUAAAUGGAAGAUGGGGUGAUGGCCGGUGAACCUGAGCUGUACAAAUGCAAGUUAUUAUUAAUUCAAGAUUACUGGGUGGAUACAUGAUGAUUGCUUUGCUUCAUCAGAUAGAAAGUGUUUUGCACACAGAGAAGAGAAGCGCAGUACACCACUCACUGUCUGCAGCCCUCGCAUGGUGACCGCCUCCUUCACUGAACUUUACGCUUUCUUUCAGUAGAGGCGUACAGUUUAUUGGCAGAGAAGCGCAGUUUAUUGCAGGUCUAACUAAUGGAAGGAGUGUUGGCUUUUGAACGUGCGUAUGCAGCUGUACAGGCGUGCCUACGCGAUUCUUGCUUCGGCCGGCUAUUUGACGGAACUUGCGUAACUAGCGACACGAAUAAAACUGAUCGAUGGAUUUGAUGGCUAAAGGCCCGUGUCGAGCCUUUGCUUUGUAUUGCUUUUCGUUUUUCUGGUGUUACAAUCAACACCCCUAGGGUGUCUUUUAUACACGUCCACAAGGGACUAUGGAAAUAGACUAGGACUAGGAAUCCUAAUACUACUAGGACUCGGUUUGGCUUUCUUUCCUAAUCCUACAUGAGCAACAUGAUUAACAUCUACAUUCACCUCCUUAAUCUUGUUGCUUGACUUCACUUCUUGCACUCCGACUUUCCUCCUCAUCUCGAUGAACUUCUGUCGACCGAGGGACUUGGUGAAAAUAUCGGCAAGUUGGUCUUUCGUGUUCACAUGUUGAACCUCGAUCAACCCUUCUUCAAUGCACUCCCGGAUAUGGUGGAACCGGGUAUCUAUGUGCUUGCUCCUUUCGUGAUGAACCAGAUUUUUGCACAACGAGAUUGCAGCUUGGUUAUCGAUCUUCAGUGACACCUUCUACACCUCCCGCUUUGCAAGAAUAGCUAGGAGUCUUCUCAGCCACACUGCUUGACAAGCCGCCGUGCUUGCCGCUAUGUAUUCUGCCUCGCAUGAAGACAGUGCCACCACCUUUUGCUUCUGAGAAUUCCAGCUAAUCGGAUUCGGGCCAAGGUAGAAAACCAUGCCCGUUGUGCUCUUUCGGUCAUCAACAUCACCUGCCAUGUCGCUAUCUGAAUAUCCACGAAGGAUCAAUCCUUCCUUUCCCUUUCUGUACGUGCAACCAAGAUUAAUGGUGCCUUUCACAUAGCGCAAGAUUUGAUUGACCGCGCUCAUGUGCUCGGUUGUCGGAUUCUCCAUGAAACAACUCACGAUCCCGACUGAAUAAGCCAAGUCAGGUCGGGUAUGCACCAAAUAUCUUAGGCUGCCCACAACGCUUCGAUACAUUGUGGUGUCCACCGGCGGAUUUGAGCUACGCUUGCUCAACUUGUGACGUUGGUCCAUUGAAACUUGUGUCGCGUAGCAAUCUGACAUGCCACACUUGUCCAAUAACUUGACCGCGUAAGCCGAUUGACAUAGGGAAAUCUCUCCGGAGCUUUGCUUCACUUCGAUGCCCAAGUAAUAGCUGAGUAAUCCCAGAUCACUCAUGCUAAACUUGUUCUUCAUUUGCGCCUUGAAACGUUCAAUUUCUUUUACGCUAUCUCCGGUGAUAAUCAGAUCGUCGACAUAAACUCCAACUAGCAGGUUUGAGCCUUUGGAGUUCUUUGUAUAGACUGCGUGCUCGAGGGGACAUCUCUUGAACCCGAGCGAGACCAGACUUCGGUCUAACUUUGAGUUCCAAGCUCUUGGCGCUUGCUUCAACCCGUAAAGUGCCUUCUUGAGCUUGUAAACUUUCCCUUCUUCGCCUUUCUUCUCGUAGCCGAGGGGUUGUUCCACGUACACUUCUUCUGUGAGAUCACCGUUGAGGAAAGCGGAUUUAACAUCCAUAUGAUGAACCUUCCAAUCCUCUUGUGCUGCCAAAGCUAGGAGCACUCUCACCGUCUCGAUUCGAGCAACCGGUGCAAACACCUCAUCAUAGUCAACUCCUUGACGUUGUACGUAGCCCUUUGCAACGAGUCUUGCCUUGUACUUCACAAUGGCACCCUCCGUGUCCUUCUUUAACUUGUAAACCCACUUCAAACCUAUCGUCUUUUGGUUUGGAGGUCGGGUUACCAAAGUCCACGUGCCAUUGCUCUCAAUUGCCUUCAUCUCCUCAUCCAUGGCGUGCGUCCAGCUAGGACUUUUGCUCGCCUCUACGAAGUUCGCCGGCUCCUCAACUCCGAACAGACAUAGUCCGGAGUACUCAAGCGUAACUGGCUUUGUGUACUUGUAGACUUUCUUGAGGGUCUUGUAGCGACGAGGCCCUGAGGAGUCCGUUGUGGCUUGCGAAGGAGGCGACACAAAUUGUGUCGGUGUUGAUGCACUUGAGGAAGACGGCUGAGACCUUGGUGUGUCAUCGACAUCCGUGUCGUCGGCGUAGUCGUCGUGACCGUGACCAUCAUCUUGAUUGUCGUCGUCACUAUGCGCCUCGUUGUCGAUGUUCUCGUCGAGAUCUCCGCCUGUGUCGUGCGCGGCGUUGUCGUUAUCUCCUUGCGACCUAUGCGCGUCGUUGUCGGUGUCGGCACCAUGAUGAUCACUACCAUUGUGGUCACCUUGGUUGGGCGUCUUGCCAACCACCUGGACAUCCUCCCCUGCAUCAUCAUCAGUUGGAAAUUCAACUGCAAAUAUGUUACUGUUUGGAGCAUCGUCGGCUGCGGCGCUCCAAUUCCACGCUUGGUUUUCUUCAAACACGACGUCGCGUGAAAUCCGUAGACGCUUGGUUUGUGGAUCGUAGAAACGGUAUGCCUUGGUGCCAGAACUGCUCUCGUAUCCGAUGAACACCAUCUUGGUGCUACGAUCGGCAAGCUUUGAGAGAUGUGGCUCCGCCGUCUUCACAUGUGCCACGCACCCGAACGUCCGUAGAUGAGACACAUUCGACUUACGUCCGUAAAUUGCUUCAUACGGAGUCUUGCCGAUCACCGCCUUCGUUGGAGCCCGGUUGAGAAGAUAGACCGCCGUCGAGACAGCUUCUCCCCAAAAAGUCCCCGGCAGGUUCUUGCUGUUGAGUAAACUCCUUGCCAUGUCAACGACGGUUCGAUUGCGCCUUUCAACGACCCCAUUCUGCUGCGGCGUGUAAGGUGCCGUGAGGAACCUCUUUGUGCCAAUCUUCUCGCAGUAGUCGUUGAACUCAUUCGACGUAAACUCUCCGCCGCGAUCUGUCCGUAGAGCGCGAACCUUCAGCUUGUGUUCCAUCUCUGUUGCAGCCUUUAAUUUCUUGAACGCUUCAAACGCCUCAUCUUUAGAUCGUAGGAGAAUGACCCACAUAUAUCUCGAGUAGUCAUCUACCACAAGGAAGAAAUACUUCUUUCCAGCGUGAGUUGCCGGGGUGAUAGGGCCACAUAGAUCACCAUGGAGCAGCUCGAGUGCAUCACUUGCACGAUAGGUAGACUGAGCAGGGAAUGGCCUGCGGUGCUGUUUUCCAACCAAGCACCCGUCACAUACUCGAUCAACAUGGUCGAUAACUGGCAUCCCGGAUACCAUCUGCAUCUUUGACAUCUUCUUCAAGGCGUAGAAGUUAACGUGUCCAAAUCUAGCAUGCCAUAACCACGAAUCAUCAUCACUCUUGGCAAGCCAACACUCCGGUUGAGAUUGAUCAAGGUUGAGGAUAUAGAGCCUAUUCCGUGAGCGAUUAACACGAGCUAGCACGUUUCGGAGGUUGUCGAAGAUCGUCAUCACUCCGCUCUCUAUAUUCACCUUGCAUCCAUUCUCGUCAAGCUUCCCAAUAGAGAUGAUGUUGUUGCGCAGCCCUGGGAUGUAGUACACUCCGGUGAGUAUGCGAUGUUCGCCUGUGAGACCCUCAAAGAGGACAGAUCCUUGCCCGCAAAUCUCCACAGCUGAACCAUCACCGAACUUGACCGAGCCUUCAACAUCGUAUUCCAGCUCGAGGAAUUUCUCCUUGCACCCCGUCAUGUGGUUACUGGCACCCGUGUCGAGAUACCACGACACGUUCUGAUCACUGGAUAACUUUGGUGUCACUUUUUCCUCAUGAAGUAGCACCUUCCGGCUUGGUUUCACAACCACCGUUUCAGCGAGAUCACAAACUUCGGCCAUCAGAAGACCUGGACCUUCGUCUUCCUGCUUUGCCAAAUUUGCCUUGAUCUCCCGCUUGUUAGGCUUUGGACAAUCCUUCGCAAAGUGACCCAUCUUAUUGCAGUUAUAGCACUUGACCUCGGACAAGUCCAAGUUCCGUGGUUUCUGCUCUUUAGAUUGGCCCGCCUUACCACGACCUUGUGGUUUGCCUUUUCCUUUGCCUUUUCCGGUUUGUCCAUCGCCCUUCGUGUUGCUUGAGCCUUCGCCACCGUCACGCCUUCCUUUGCUACUUGGGGCCUCCCAAUCUGCGCGCGAGUACAUGAGUUGGUCACUACCUCCUCCUUUGCCUUUUCGACAGCCACGAGCAUUCUCUUCCCACGUCCGCAGGCGUCCGAUCGCCUCCGUUAUGGUCAUGUCGUCGAUGUCGUAAAGCUGCUCGAGCGUGCCGAUGAUGUACGUGAAUUUAUCAGUCACUGAACUGAAAAACUUCUCCACGAUCUCGGUCUCCUCGAGCUUUGAACCAAGCGCACGGAUCUCUCCCACCAGAGUAGUAAGACGCAUGGCAUAGUCGUUCACCGAUUCAGUUUCCUCCAUCUGCAACUUGUGAAAUUGGCGCUUCAGCACUUGUGCCCUUGCCUUGGUGACGCGAUCUUCUCCGAUCCUCAUCUCCUUGAGUGCGUUCCACGCCUCUCUUGCCAUCUCGAACUCCGCCAAUGUCAUCAGCACGGAAUCCGGCACAGACUGGGCUAUGGCGGCCAUGGCACCUUCGUCGGACUCGUCAUCGACGUCGUCGUCCGUGAUUGCCUGCCACACUCGAAGGGUUCGGAGAAUAAUCUUCAUCUUCACCGCCCACACGCCGUAGUUGGCGUCGGUGAGCAUCGGGUACUGGAUGGGGAUGUUGCGAUGCGCCUGGACGUUAGCGCCGCUCGUUCCUCCACCACUGGUUGCUGACUUGACGCCCUUCUUCACCUUGUCGCCGUUCUUGUUCGCCUUGGCACCGCCGCUGCCGGACUUGACCGACUCAGCGUCGCUGUCCGUCGUCGUAGAUCGUAGAUCGUCGACGCUCUGAUACCAAUUGUUGGCUUUUGAACGUGCGUAUGCAGCUGUACAGGCGUGCCUACGCGAUUCUUGCUUCGGCCGGCUACUUGACGGAACUUGCGUAACUAGCGACACGAAUAAAACUGAUCGAUGGAUUUGAUGGCUAAAGGCCCGUGUCGAGCCUUUGCUUUGUAUUGCUUUUCGUUUUUCUGGUGUUACAAUCAACACCCCUAGGGUGUCUUUUAUACACGUCCACAAGGGACUAUGGAAAUAGACUAGGACUAGGAAUCCUAAUACUACUAGGACUCGGUUUGGCUUUCUUUCCUAAUCCUACAUGAGCAACAUGAUUAACAUCUACAAGGAGGUGUUCUUGAGGUGGUCCGGCGCGUCCUCGAAGGAAUGCUUCCUGGCCAUGGAGAGGAUGGCCUUAUCGGCGACGAUGAAGUAGGCCAUCCCGGCGACGGUGGAAAUGAUGAGUGCCUGGCCAGUCGGGUUCAGGUGCGCCCUCGCCCACGGCAGCAUCC